rnacentral:rRNA from 1 species
CCUACGGGAGGCAGCAGUGGGGAAUAUUGCGCAAUGGGCGACAGCCUGACGCAGCGACGCCGCGUGAGGGAUGAAGGUCUUCGGAUCGUAAACCUCUGUCAGCAGGGAAGAACGGUCACUGUGCUAAUCAGCAGUGAAUUGACGGUACCUGCAAAGGAAGCACCGGCUAACUCCGUGCCAGCAGCCACGGUCAUACGGAGGGUGCGUGCGUUAAUCGGAAUUACUGGGCGUAAAGCGCUCGUAGUCGGUAUGUCAAGUCAAGGGGGAAAUCCCCGCGCUCAACGUGGGAACUGCCUUUGAAACUGGCAAACUGGAGUGUGUGAGAGGAGAGUGGAAUUCCAGGUGUAGGAGUGAAAUCCGUAGAUAUCUGGAGGAACAUCAGUGGCGAAGGCGACUAUCUGGCACAUAACUGACGCUGAGGAGCGAAAGCGUGGGUAGCAAACAGGAUUAGAUACCCUAGUAGUC